rnacentral:rRNA from 1 species
AGUGAACGCUGGCGGUAGGCCUAACACAUGCAAGUCGAACGGCAGCACAGUAAGAGCUUGCUCUUACGGGUGGCGAGUGGCGGACGGGUGAGGAAUACAUCGGAAUCUACUUUUUCGUGGGGGAUAACGUAGGGAAACUUACGCUAAUACCGCAUACGACCUACGGGUGAAAGCAGGGGAUCUUCGGACCUUGCGCGAUUGAAUGAGCCGAUGUCGGAUUAGCUAGUUGGCGGGGUAAAGGCCCACCAAGGCGACGAUCCGUAGCUGGUCUGAGAGGAUGAUCAGCCACACUGGAACUGAGACACGGUCCAGACUCCUACGGGAGGCAGCAGUGGGGAAUAUGGGACAAAGGGCGCAAGCCUGAUCCAGCCAUACCGCGUGGGUGAAGAAGGCCUUCGGGUUGUAAAGCCCUUUUGUUGGGAAAGAAAAGCAGCAGGUUAAUACCCCGCUGUUCUGACGGUACCCAAAGAAUAAGCACCGGCUAACUUCGUG